rnacentral:rRNA from 1 species
UACGGAGGGUGCAAGCGUUAUCCGGAUUCACUGGGUUUAAAGGGUGCGUAGGUGGUUUUGUAAGUCAGUGGUGAAAGCCCGGAGCUUAACUCCGGAACUGCCAUUGAUACUGCUUAACUUGAAUCAACUUGAGGUGGAUGGAAUAUUACAUGUAGCGGUGAAAUGCUUAGAUAUGUAAUAGAACACCGAUUGCGAAGGCAGUUCACUAAGGUUGUAUUGACACUGAGGCACGAAAGCGUGGGGGUCAAACAGG